rnacentral:rRNA from 1 species
CGCGGUAUUUUGACCGUGCGAAGGUAGCAUAAUCAUUAGUCUUUUAAUUGAAGGCUUGUAUGAAAGGUUGGACGAGAAGUUAGCUGUCUAUUUUUUAAAAGAUGGAAUUUGACUUUUAAGUGAAAGGGCUUAAAUACUCUAAGGGGACGAUAAGACCCUAUAAAGUUUAACAUCUUAUUAUUAUAAAAUAAAGUGAGGGGGUAAAGUUUGUUAGUGAAAUGUUGUUUUGUUGGGGUGACUGGAAUAUAAGGAAUUUAACUGUUUUACAGUAAAGACAAAGAUGUUUGUGAGGGUUGAUCUAAAUUAAAGGUGGAAGAAUAAAUUACUUUAGGGAUAACAGCGUAAUUUUUUUUGAGAGUUCUUAUCGACAGAAAAGUUUGCGACCUCGAUGUUGAAUUAAAGAUUCUUUAUAGCGCAGCAGUUAUAAAAGAAGGUCUGUUCGA